rnacentral:rRNA from 1 species
AAAUGCCGGUAUGAGUAGCGAAAGAGGGGUGAGAAUCCCCUCCACCGAAUGCCUAAGGUUUCCUGAGGAAGGCUCGUCCGCUCAGGGUUAGUCGGGACCUAAGCCGAGGCCGAAAGGCGUAGGCGAUGGACAACAGGUUGAUAUUCCUGUACCACCUCCUCACCAUUGAGCAAUGGGGGGACGCAGGAGGAUAGGGUAAGCGCGGUAUUGGAUAUCCGCGUCCAAGCAGUUAGGCUGGGAAAUAGGCAAAUCCGUUUCCCAUAGGCUGAGCUGUGAUGGCGAGCGAAAUAUAGUAGCGAAGUUCCUGAUUCCACACUGCCAAGAAAAGCCUCUAGCGAGGUGAGAGGUGCCCGUACCGCAAACCGACACAGGUAGGCGAGGAGAGAAUCCUAAGGUGAUCGAGAGAACUCUCGUUAAGGAACUCGGCAAAAUGACCCCGUAACUUCGGGAGAAGGGGUGCUCUGUUAGGGUGCAAGCCCGAGAGAGCCGCAGUGAAUAGGCCCAGGCGACUGUUUAGCAAAAACACAGGUCUCUGCGAAGCCGUAAGGCGAAGUAUAGGGGCUGACGCCUGCCCGGUGCUGGAAGGUUAAGAGGAGCGCUUAGCGUAAGCGAAGGUGCGAAUUGAAGCCCCAGUAAACGGCGGCCGUAACAAUAACGGUCCUAAGGUAGCGAAAUUCCUUGUCGGGUAAGUUCCGACCCGCACGAAAGGCGCAACGAUCUGGGCACUGUCUCAACGAGAGACUCGGUGAAAUUAUAGUACCUGUGAAGAUGCAGGUUACCCGCGACAGAACGGAAAGACCCCGUGGAGCUUUACUGCAGCCUGAUAUUGAAUGUUGGUACAGCUUGUACAGGAUAGGUAGGAGCCUUGGAAACCGGAGCGCCAGCUUCGGUGGAGGCAUCGGUGGGAUACUACCCUGGCUGUAUUGACCUUCUAACCCGCCGCCCUUAUCGGGCGGGGAGACAGUGUCAGGCGGGCAGUUUGACUGGGGCGGUCGCCUCCUAAAAGGUAACGGAGGCGCCCAAAGGUUCCCUCAGAAUGGUUGGAAAUCAUUCGCAGAGUGUAAAGGCACAAGGGAGCUUGACUGCGAGACCUACAAGUCGAGCAGGGACGAAAGUCGGGCUUAGUGAUCCGGUGGUUCCGCAUGGAAGGGCCAUCGCUCAACGGAUAAAAGCUACCCCGGGGAUAACAGGCUUAUCUCCCCCAAGAGUCCACAUCGACGGGGAGGUUUGGCACCUCGAUGUCGGCUCAUCGCAUCCUGGGGCUGUAGUCGGUCCCAAGGGUUGGGCUGUUCGCCCAUUAAAGCGGUACGCGAGUUGGGUUCAGAACGUCGUGAGACAGUUCGGUCCCUAUCCGUCGCGGGCGCAGGAAAUUUGAGAGGAGCUGUCCUUAGUACGAGAGGACCGGGAUGGACGCACCGCUGGUGUACCAGUUGUUCUGCCAAGGGCAUCGCUGGGUAGCUAUGUGCGGACGGGAUAAGUGCUGAAAGCAUCUAAGCAUGAAGCCCCCCUCAAGAUGAGAUUUCCCAUUCCGCAAGGAAGUAAGAUCCCUGAAAGAUGAUCAGGUUGAUAGGUCUGAGGUGGAAGUGUGGCGACACAUGGAGCUGACAGAUACUAAUCGAUCGAGGACUUAACC